UACAGAGGGUGCAAGCGUUGUUCGGAAUUAUUGGGCGUAAAGGGAGUGUAGGCGGCUUGUUAAGUCUUCUGUGAAAUCUACGGGCUCAGCCUGUAACGUGCAGAGGAAACUGGCGAGCUUGAGUGUCGGAGAGGAUAGGGGAAUACCCGGUGUAGAGGUGAAAUUCGUAGAGAUCGGGUGGAACACCGGUGGCGAAGGCGGGUCUCUGGGCCGAUACUGACGCUGAGGAGCGAAAGCGUGGGGAGCGAACAGG
rnacentral:rRNA from 1 species